rnacentral:rRNA from 1 species
CCUACGGGGGGCUGCAGUGGGGAAUAUUGGACAAUGGGCGAAAGCCUGAUCCAGCCAUGCCGCGUGUGUGAAGAAGGCCUUCGGGUUGUAAAGCACUUUCAGUGGGGAAGAAAGCCUUGGGGCUAAUACCCUCGAGGAAGUACAUCACCCACAGAAGAAGCACCGGCUAACUCCGUGCCAGCAGCCGCGGUAAUACGGAGGGUGCGAGCGUUAAUCGGAAUUACUGGGCGUAAAGCGCGCGUAGGCGGUCUGAUAAGCCGGUUGUGAAAGCCCCGGGCUCAACCUGGGAACGGCAUCCGGAACUGUCAGGCUAGAGUGCAGGAGAGGAAGGUAGAAUUCCCGGUGUAGCGGUGAAAUGCGUAGAGAUCGGGAGGAAUACCAGUGGCGAAGGCGGCCUUCUGGACUGACACUGACGCUGAGGUGCGAAAGCGUGGGUAGCAAACAGGAUUAGAUACCCCUGUAGUC